UCCCGUGGGAUAGCUCAAUCAGUGGAGCCUGAGACUCUUAAUCUCAGGGUUGUGGGUUUGAGCCCCACAUUGGGGGAA